rnacentral:rRNA from 1 species
UACGAAGGGGGCGAGCGUUGUUCGGAUUUACUGGGCGUAAAGGGCGUGUAGGCGGCCUUUUAAGUCAGACGUGAAAACCCUGGGCUUAACCCAGGAACUGCGUUUGAAACUGGAAGGCUUGAGGACCGGAGAGGGUAGUGGAAUUCCCAGUGUAGCGGUGAAAUGCGUAGAUAUUGGGAGGAACACCAGUGGCGAAGGCGACUGCCUGGACGGCACCUGACGCUGAGGCGCGAAAGCUAGGGGAGCAAACGGG